GUGAACGCUGGCGGCGUGCUUAACACAUGCAAGUCGAACGAUGAAGUCCCUCGGGCUGGAUUAGUGGCGCACGGGUGAGUAAUAUAUAGUUAAUGUGCCUCGACGACUGUGAUAGCCACUGGAAACGGUGAUUAAUACUCGAUACACCUCUCUAACAUAAGUUAGAGUGGGACAUGUUUUUUCGCUUCGCGAUCAGACUAUAUCCUAUCAGUUAGUUGGUGAGGUAAAGGCUCACCAAGGCAAUGACGGGUAGCGGGUCUGAGAGGAUGAUCCGCCACACUGGUACUGAGACACGGACCAGACUCCUACGGGAGGCAGCAGUGAGGAAUAUUGCACAAUGGGGGAAACCCUGAUGCAGCAACGCCGCGUGGAGGAUGACGCAUUUCGGUGUGUAAACUCCUUUUAUAUGUCAAGAAAAUGACGGUAGCAUAUGAAUAAGCACCGGCUAACUCCGU
rnacentral:rRNA from 1 species